CCCGGGUGAAAGCCUGGGGUGCCCCGCGAGGGGAGCCCUAGCACAGGUGCUGCAUGGCCGUCGUCAGCUCGUGCCGUGAGGUGUUGGGUUAAGUCCCGCAACGAGCGCAACCCCCGCCGUUAGUUGCCAGCGGUUCGGCCGGGCACUCUAACGGGACUGCCCGCGAAAAGCGGGAGGAAGGAGGGGACGACGUCUGGUCAGCAUGGCCCUUACGGCCUGGGCGACACACGUGCUACAAUGCCCACUACAAAGCGAGGCCACCCGGCAACGGGGAGCUAAUCGCAAAAAGGUGGGCCCAGUUCGGAUUGGGGUCUGCAACCCGACCCCAUGAAGCCGGAAUCGCUAGUAAUCGCGGAUCAGCCAUGCCGCGGUCGAAUACGUUCCCGGGCCUU
rnacentral:rRNA from 1 species